rnacentral:rRNA from 1 species
GACGAACGCUGGCGGCGUGCUUAACACAUGCAAGUCGAACGGAAAGGCCCCUUUGGGGGUACUCGAGUGGCGAACGGGUGAGUAACACGUGAGUAACCUGCCCUUGACUUCGGGAUAACUUCAGGAAACUGGGGCUAAUACCGGAUAGGAAUCCUUGCUGCAUGGUGGGGGUUGGAAAGCUUCGGCGGUUUUGGAUGGACUCGCGGCUCAUCAGCUUGUUGGUGGGGUAGUGGCUUACCAAGGCUUUGACGGGUAGCCGGCCUGAGAGGGCGACCGGCCACAUUGGGACUGAGAUACGGCCCAGACUCCUACGGGAGGCAGCAGUGGGGAAUAUUGCACAAUGGGCGGAAGCCUGAUGCAGCAACGCCGCGUGCGGGAUGACGGCCUUCGGGUUGUAAACCGCUUUCAGCAGGGGCGAAGCUUGUGGUGACGGUACCUGCAGAAGAAGCACCGGCUAACUACGUG